AUACAGAGGGCGCAAGCGUUGUUCGGAAUUACUGGGCGUAAAGGGCAGGUAGGUGGUCUGUUAAGUCUUCUGUGAAAAUCCGGGGCUCAACCCCGUGAAAUGCAGGUGAAACUGGCAGACUUGAGACCGGUAGAGGCUAGCGGAAUUCCUGGUGUAGCGGUGGAAUGCGUAGAUAUCAGGAAGAACACCUGUGGCGAAGGCGGCUAGCUGGGCCGGUUCUGACACUAAACUGCGAAAGCGUGGGGAGCAAACAGAAUUAGAAACCCCAGUAGUCC
rnacentral:rRNA from 1 species